AAUAUUGGCCAAUGGGCGAAAGCCUGAUCCAGCCAUGCCGCGUGUGUGAAGAAGGUCUUCGGAUUGUAAAGCACUUUACGAUGGGAGGAAGGGCUUUAGGUUACUACCCUGAAGUUUUGACGUUACCUACACAAUAAGCACCGGCUACCUUUGCGCCACCAGCCGCUGUAAUACAGAGGGUGCAAGCGUUAAUGGGAAUUAAUGGGAGUAAAGCGGGCGGAGGUGGGUCAGUAAGAUGGGUGUGAAAUCCCCGGGGUUAACCUGGGGACUGCCUUCAAUACUGGCUGACCAGAGUUAGGGAGAGGGUAGGGGAAUUUACUGGUUGGGGGGGAAAGGCGUAGGUAUAGGAAGGAACCACAAUGGCGAAGGAGACCAACUGGGCUAAUACUGACACUGAGGUGCGAAAGCGUGGGGAGCAAAC
rnacentral:rRNA from 1 species